UUGAAUUAGCAACAGUGAAGUUAGCCAGAGUCAUAUGGAUAUUUUUUCAAUCUGUGUACACACUGAACAUCUGAUAUGUUGGCUUCCAAAGUGGGGAUUUUUGCUAACUUCCGGGAACCAGUGAUGUAUGUUAUACAUAGUAGACUAACUGGAGGUUGCUAUGGGGACACUCUUUCAUUCCCAACAGUGUGCAGCUCAUGUUUCAUUUGCUUUAUGCUUCUUUCUCCAGUCUUCCUCUUCAUUCACCAACAACUGUUUAAGGACCGUCUUCCCAUUUCUGAAAAGUGAGCUGGGUCCAGGAGAUAUAAUAGAAAGUAGCACUGUUUUUCUUAUCUCUGCAUGUACCAAACAGAGUAUAUUUUUAUAACUCUUCACAUCCCAGUCCCUAUUCAUUAUACUCUGCUCUCCUGGCAGACACCUAGUCUUGACUGUAGAACUUCGACCCUGUGAAUAUACGUGUUCACCUUUGCUUUCCUGAUUUGCCUGAAAUUUAUUUUUCUGAGAUGGUCUUGUUUAAUAUCUCUAACAUCUUUAUGUUCUCAGACUAGAAACUGAAUUUUUUCUUUUAAGGAACAGGUAGUACAUAUAAUAGGGUUGGUGACUGCAUAGUUUCUUGUAGUUAUUUCAGUCUGUCAUUGUAUUAUAAACAUAGACAUAAAUUAGUAGGAUUAACUUAUUUAUUCAUUUCAACAAACCUUUAUUUGUAGAUAUUGGUGUUUGAUUUUCAUGUAAUUUUUUUUUAUCAGAUAUUAUGAUUCCCUUGAUUCCUCAACACUCAUUCUAGCCAUAUGCACAUGUAAAAUUCGUUCUCAAGCUCGUGGACUGUACAAAGUCAGACAGUGGCUAGGCUUGGCCUGUAGGUGCAGUUAGGUGGCCCCUAAGAUAGAACCAAGCUGCUUCAAGCUUUGAACACCAGCCAUCAUCUAGAAAGGGACCAGUCUGAAUUUGUGUAAAGAUCUUUGGAGAGUGGUAAGUACGCAAGUAACUGUUUGGAAAGAAGGGAUCAUGGAUCUGUGGAGAAUGAAGGAGAAACUUCACCUCUCAGAAAGUUGUCCUGGGGAGAGAAAACAGGAAUUCAGAGGUAAAAGGAAUGCAAUUCCUCUGGAAAUGAGUGCUAAAAGUCUAAAAAUGUUUACGAACUGUUGUUGCAUUUCCCUUGCUCUUUUCUCUUGUGUCUAACCAUCAAAUCUUUGUAAUCUCCAGGGAAACAAAGUAAAAUUUUAUUCACAGUCCGCUGGGGGAAGAAUAUGGCCUGUGUCCAAAGUAAUGAAAAAGAUUGAUUUCUUCUGCAAAUCCUUCCGCAUGGAGCACACUCCACUCCAGUGUACAGUGGGUGGGACGAGAGCAGAAGGAGCUGCCUCAGGACUGACCUCCCACCACUUCCCAUGACUUUUUCCAUCAAAAUUAUCUACUAUUUAUAGAUGACCAGGAGUGGCACCCCACCCCAAGUCCAAACUAAGUCUUAACAUUUCACAGGUAAUGGCAAAGUCAGUUUUACACAGAUCAACAACACGCUGGCCUGACCUUUGCCAACCCUUAUCAUCACCCCACCCUGCCUGUCUACAGCUGCUGGUUACACCCAAGUUGAUUAUAACAUAUGGACGUCUUGACUGUGAGCAGAGAGACCAAACAGCUGACUAAAUGAGUAGACUGUCUUCAUUUGAGAGAUGCACACAAGCUGUUUUAUCUUUUGGGUCCCAGAUGACGAGGGGUUGGUGCCGUUGCCAUGACUUGUACCAUCAGUAUCUUAAUGAAGGACUUGGCAGAAUGAACUUGAUAUCUUGUUGAUAUCAUGGAAGACAAACUUAAGAGAGGGAUGAUAAAUCUUUGCUGUAGGAAAUCCUUCAGUCAGUAGACUUUAAGUUACUCACCCACUUGGGCAUGGCUUCUUAUACUAUAAAUGCUGAUAUAAAAUGCAUGCUCUCUCUCUUCUUGCUGCUGGUUUCAGUUGCUGUUCCCCGUUCAAGCAGAGGACCGUGGUCUAACCCUAAA